ACCUUAGUAUUCAUGUACUCCUCAAAUCUGACACAAAACCCACAGGUGUAAAAAGCACCGAGACCCCCGACACAGGUUUCUCUGAAGACACGGAACAUGAAACCACACACACAGAGAACACCCCCUCACGCGUCCAUCAACACAUAUCUCUUAUUUACGACCGCAACUGCCCAGGCAGCAAGUACAGAUUAAUUUCAUGCUCCACUCCAUUCCUAAGUCAUAAUCACAGAAUAUUCUGAGUUGAAAUGGACCCACAAUGAUCAUCAAAGCCCAGCUCUUGGCCCUGCAGAGGACACCCCAAGAGUCGCAGCAUGAGCCUGAAAGCAUUGUCCAAAUCUUGAGCAUCUUGAAAUCUGUCAGGCUUGAGCAUCUUGAAAUCUGUCAGUGCUGAGACCACUUCCCUAGGGAGCCUGUUCCAGUGCCCAGCCAUCCUCUAGAGGUCUUGAACAAAGCCUGAAGCCCACAAGGACUCAGCCCUACCUGACUACCAGCAGUUUAUUUCAUAACACACCGCAAAAGAGAAGGAAGAGAGCAAAAUUAUAUCCCUGCUUGUUAUUUUAUGAGUAAAGUUCUGACUUUGCACCCAGCAAAGUGCUUGGAAAAUUACAGCUACUGCUGGGGAAACAUUAUCUUGUUCAGCCAGCAAGUAAGAGUUGCUGCAGACAACAGAUGGGAUUUCACAAGGGAGAUCAACAGUUGUUCCAGCACACUCUUCAGGAAAGCUACCUUCCCUCUAAGGAUCACAGGCAACCACCCACACAGAAAUGGAAAAGUAGUUCGGCUCCAAUGGCAAGGAAAA